rnacentral:rRNA from 1 species
UACGUAGGGUGCAAGCGUUGUCCGGAAUUAUUGGGCGUAAAGAGCUCGUAGGCGGUGUGUUCACGUCGGCCGUGAAAACCUGACAGCUUAACUGUGGGCGUGCGGUCGAUACGGGCAUCACUGGAGUUCGGCGAGGGAGGGACUGAAGUUCCGUGGUGAUAGCGGUGAAAUGCGCAGAUAUCAGGAGGAACACCGGUGGCGAAGGCGGGUCUCUGGGCCGAUAACUGACGCUGGAGGAGCGAAAGCCGUGGGGAGCAAACAGG